CUCAUUCUCUGUUAUCAGGCUUAGGAUCUGCAGUAAUAUCCCAACAUUUCAGCUCCAGGACAGCCGGCUUGACUCAGAAUCUUAGAAGCAGGCUGCGACACCUUGGUUUCUUCUUUAAAGUGGGAGUUAUCAGACCGAAUUUCACUACUUCUGAGGAUUGUGGAGCAGGAGGAAUGAGCUAAUAGAGCCCAUUCAAGAAUUACCUGAGUUGUUCCCUUGGAAAACCAUGGCCUAAGAAGAUCCAAUGAGCGUCACAAGAUGGAUGAAGUCCAAGUAGCUUUCUUAAGACAAGCGGUGGAAGCCACAUGGUGAGGAUGGUGGAGCAAUGAAACAUAAGAUGUCACCUUACUAGUCUUGGACUGCUUACUUCUGGAUUCUGCUAUAUGAGAGACAAAUAGACCUCUAUAUUGUCUGAGCUCUGUUAUUUCAGAUUUUUUGUCUUUCAGAGUUGACAUAAAUCUUAACUGAUGUAAGAUCACACAGCUAGUUACUAGUACAGCUGAGCUUUAAGCUCAGUUCUUUUGACUCCAAAUUCAGUUGUUUUUAUUUUGCUUCGUCGCAACUGGCAUCUUCACUUGCCUUACUUACAGAGCUUCUGUGAAAAUGAAAUGAGGAAACAGGUAAGAGAGCACUUUGUAAACUGUGAGGCCUCAUUUAUAUGUG